CGGAGAGUUUGAUCCUGGCUCAGGAUGAACGCUGGCGGCGUGCCUAAUACAUGCAAGUCGAACGAGGCGCUUUUGUAGCAAUACGAGAGUGUCCUAGUGGCGAACGGGUGAGUAACGCGUGGGUGACCUGCCCCAAAGUGUGGGAUAACAGUCCGAAAGGAUUGCUAAUACCGCAUGUGGUCUUCGGGUUUAGAAACCGAUGACUAAAGCAGCAAUGCGCUUUGGGAGGGACCUGCGUCCCAUCAGCUAGUUGGUGAGGUAACGGCUCACCAAGGCGACGACGGGUAGGGGACCUGAGAGGGUGGCCCCCCACAAUGGAACUGAAACACGGUCCAUACACCUACGGGUGGCAGCAGUAGGGAAUAUU
rnacentral:rRNA from 1 species